GACGAACGCUGGCGGCGUGCUUAACACAUGCAAGUCGAACGGGCCUUGUCCCCUUUUUUUUUGGGGGUGGGGUUAGUGGCGAACGGGUGAGUAACACGUGAGUAACCUGCCCCUCACUUCUGGAUAACCGCUUGAAAGGGUGGCUAAUACGGGGUGUUCUGGCCUGCUCGCAUGGGUGGGUUUGGAAAGAUUCGACCGGUUUUGGUUGUUUUGGUGGGGGAUGGGCUCGCGGCCUAUCAGCUUGUUGGUGGGGUGAUGGCCUGCCAAGGCUUUGACGGGUAGCCGGCCUGAGAGGGUGGGCGGUCACACUGGGACUGAGACACGGCCCAGACUCCUACGGGAGGCAGCAGUGGGGAAUAUUGCACAAUGGGCGCAAGCCUGAUGCAGCGACGCCGCGUGAGGGAUGGAGGCCUUCGGGUUGUGAACCUCUUUCGCCAGUGAAGAAGGUACUGCUCUUUGUGGUGGGGUUGACGGUAGCGGGGUUAAUGAAGCGCCGGCUAACUACGUG
rnacentral:rRNA from 1 species